CGACGAUGGGCGGGGCGAGGGGUGGGGUCCGUGCCCCACGUGCUGGCGGGAAGGAGGGGUGGGGGAGCUCUUUGUUCUCGCGCUGCUCGCCUGAGCGGGCGGUUUUGUGCUCUCUUUGCCCGUCUGUCUAGCUGAGUGGGCAGCGGGGCUGGAGUUUGAGGUGCUCCGGCCGCCGCCUCACAGUGACUGGGGAGAGGAAGGAGGCGAGGGGCCCGACGGGAGCGGGGAGGAGCCUCGCGUCUCAGUGCUGCUGAGUUUGAAUCAGUUCGAAAGUGGGAGCUGUAACGGUUUUAACAGUCGUGCUGCUGCUUCCGCGCGCGGCAGAGAGGGGAGGGGACGGGACGAGACGGAGAACUGUGGGAGAGGCGCGACUGCGACCAGGCGGGAAGAGCCAGGCGGGGAUGGGGGGUGGUGCUGGCAGGAGCUGCUUACCUCAGCAGGGUCCGCUCCCUGCCUGUCGUUUCCGCGGUAGGCUCUCCUUCCCGGCCUCGCGCCGUGCCGAGUGUUGCCUGGCUGAGUCACUAACCAGAGUACGUGAUGCAUCCUCCUGCCAUGUCAUCCGACCUUUGUGCACCCAAACCUAGCACGCAUCUGCCUUUUUGUUUCAUGCAGUUCCUUACGAAUUUUGGUGCCUUGCUGUUCUGCACCCAGCAUGGAUUUUUCGCUGUCAAAAUCCCAUUGUGUCCCAUCUUGGCAAUGGUGGUAAAUUACAGCAACAGCAAGGUGCCCAUUCUGCAUACGGCUGGGAUCCUGUUGCUAGUGGUAUGCUGUCUCCAGCUUAAGGUUGCUACCAUUUUCCCGUUUCUAUUCUGCGACCCACGCUCAGUCACGUUGACAAGGAUGUACUUAAAAUCUCAAGGAUUCAUUCCUCUUUAGCCUUCUGUUGUCUCACUGUUUGGCUGCUGCAGCCCUUCUUUGUUGAUGAAAGACAAAAUUGCCAAGAUAAUUUUCCCACCAUGAUCUUUCAUCCACACUUGUAACCAUCUCUCCUUUCUGUGCCUCCUGUGUUAAGCACUACUUCUGAGGUAGAACAGAUUGUGAGCCUUGUCCUCUCACUGUCCCCAAUAUUUCUCAUUUGUGAGUAUUGCCUUCCUUUGUGAAUCACUUGUGACACCUUCAACUACCCUGUCUCAUCUUUGUGUGAAGCCCAAAAAUGAGCACUGUCCACCAUGACGGAGUUCUGAGUGAUAAAAAUCCUGUGACAGAAGAUCACUAACACAGCUUCAUUCCUAAAUCUUUCAGCUGUGUUAUAGGCCAAACGAAGCUCAGAGUUCUUUUAAUGCGGAACAGAAAUGUUUUCUUAUGUUUACAUGUCACAGAAUGAUAUAUUGUCAUACUCUUUCUCUGCUUUUACUAGAGUAGGUGUAUGGGAACUGUUGAAUCACGGCCUGAACCUCUGAUUGACCCCCUGAGGCGUGUGCUGAGUCAGCUGCAGGGGCACAGGUGAAAGCAAUUGGCUCCACCCCUCCUAGACCCCAUUUAAGGGCUGACUCAGAAGGAGGAAGGCUCUCUACCUGGAGAUUACUCCUCUUGGAGCCCUUCUGUGAGCCCAAGACAUGGGAGGGAAAAUAUCUGAUCCCUAAAUAUGCCUGGUGCACAGAUGAAUCCAGCAAGGGCAACGCAAGCAAGUGGAGAGCGAUAGCAUACCAUCCCUCCACCAAGACAAUCUGCUUUGAUGAGGGGGGAUGGUCAGAGCAGCCAAUGGGCAGAACUGUGAGCUGUGUGGAUGAUUAUGACCAAGGAACUCGGUGAUGGUAUCCUGAACAUCUGCACAGAUAGUUGGGCUGUGUACUGGGGACUCACUCUUUGGAUUGCACAGUGGGCCAUCCAGGAAUGGACUAUCAGCACCUUACAAAUCAGGUGCAAAGAUAUGUGGUUAGACAUAUGGAAUAAGUUAAACACAGGACUGUACGUGUCUACCAUGUUUCUGGUCACCAAUCCCUACAGUCACUGGGAAAUGAUGAAGCUGACACACUGGCCUGAGUUUGAUGGAUUGAGAAUUCACCAUCUGAGAACAUCGCCUGUGGUUACAUCAGAAGCUUUGGCAUGCUGGACAAAAGACAAUAUGGGCAGCUGCUAAAGCAUGGGGGCUGCCCAUACAACUAUUUUACAUUGCCCAGGUAUGCUGAGACUGUGAUGCUUGCUUCAAGAUAAGACUGAGAUCAUUGCCCAGAGCAACAGCCCAUCUUGCUAGAGCAUGCAACCCUCUCCAGAGAUGGCAGGUUGAUUACAUUGGGCCCCUCCCUUGGUCUGAGGGGGUGAGAUAUUCCCUGACCUGCAAAUGGGCUAAUUCAGGCCUAUCCAGUACCAAAAGCAAACCAGGCGUAUACCAUCAAGGCACUUACUAAACUGAUGUCUGCCUACAGGACACCUCAAGUCAUUGAGAGUGACCGAGGGACCCAUUUUACUGGUGCAGUGAUACAAUGCUGGGCAGAAGAAAACAUUGAAUGGUGAUUCCACCUGCCAUAUAAUCCAAUGGGGACAGGUCUCAUUGAACAUUAUAAUGGUAUUCUUAAGGCUGCUGUAAAGACAGACUCUCAGUCCCUGCGGAUAAAGAGUUUAUCCUGGUGGAUAAAGAGACUCUAUGAAACCCUGUGGGACUUGAAUGAAAGUCCUAGAGAUGGCAGACCCAGUGCUCAGAAAAUGCUACAGACAUGGGCCUCCCUGCUUAGGAUCCAUAUUACAGGCACUGAUAAUCAGGUAAGAGUGGCAAUGAAAAUUAUUUUCUGCUCCCUGCCCCUAGGAAUUUAGAUCUGGGUACCCAUAUACUAAAGUGGCCUUGGAAGGUGCAGGUAGGACCAAAGUGGUGCAGCCUACUCGUACUUUGGGGGAGAUUAUUGGAGGUGGGAGGCUUAGUAGUCUCUCUGGUAAUAGGUACAUGGCCUACGGAUAUUGUGGUCAACACUCCAAUCUUCAUUGCUGAAGGGACCCCCAUCAUGUCCCUGUGGCAGAUCAGCACUUCCCCUUUGGUGCCUGAUAUAGUUAUGCAGCCGCAGACAUCUGCCCCAGUACAAGCUGAAGUGUUGACCCAGGACAGGAAUACGGCCUGUAUCUUGCCCUGGAGGGCAGACCUUCCCCUCCUGGUACCCCUGAAACAUCUGUAUUACUCCCCGUGAGUCUUUGUGCCUCUAGGAUCACCGGAAGGAAUGAAAUGCCUUUGAAGCGUUCCAGUGUUGCUGUGGGAUCAUGUGUGACACCAGGUGAUGGUCUACAUGGGACUGAUGGAGCAUAGGAUGGACCUCCACCACACGACUACAUACCUCCAGUAACACCACCAAGCACUAGCCCAUAAAAGAGCAUGAACUUUCACCUUACACCAAUAAUCACUUGUCUUAAAUGUUGUCAAUAUGCAUCACAAUGAGAAAUUGUAUAAGCAUUGUGAUAUGUUGGAUUUCUGUAUUAUGGAGCACUUACCUUUAGUUAACUUGAUCGUUGGUUCACGCCAUGAAGUGGUGGAGUGUAUGGGAACUGUUGAAUCAUGGCCUGAACCACUGAUUGAUCACUUGAGGCAAGUACUGAGUCAGCUGCAGGAGCACAGGUGAAGGCAAUUCACAUGUGUGAUCGGAAGAGGUGGAGUCUGGCUCCACCUCUCCUAGACCCCAUUUAAGGGCUGACUGCCACUAAGGAAGGAUCUCUUUCUGGAGACUGCUCCCUUCGGAGUUUUUCUGCGAGCCUACGACAUGGGUGAGCAUUUCCAUUUAUUUUUGAUUAUCCCUUUCCACCAUGAUAAUCCUUCUAGUUACUACCUGUAAAAUACUAGCCUAACCACACCACUUUGCUGAUUGUAUAUUUGUUGAUUGUACAUUGAUAUAUUCAAGCCUUUGAUUUUAAUCAAAAUGGUUGAACUUAUUAGAACUGCCCUGAAAGCAUAUGCUUGCGAACUUAUAUUGCAGAGCCUAUUUUCAGCUGUAUUUGGCAGUGUGGUUGUAUGAUACUGUUGUAUGCCAAUCAUAGGCAAAGAUGUGCAUGAUAGGGAAUAUGAUAGAUCCAUUCAAUGCCAUGACCUUUAGCCCAAGUAUUUUCAAGAGAAUUUUUGAAAUGAGUCUUAUUAUCUGAUUCAAUUCUUUCUGGGGUGUCAUGUCACCACAGGACUUGUUUCUCAAGACCUAAUGUGGUGUUUUGGGCAGUAGCAUGGGGUACUGCAUAUGUUUCAAGCCAUCCAGUAGUUGCCUCCAUCUCAGUAAGCACAUAACACCAUUCUGAGAUCAUGGCAAGGUGAUAUAAUCAACCUGCCAUGCCUCCCCGUAUUAAUAAUUUUGCCAUCACCCUUCCCCCCAGAGAGGUUUCAUCCCCUUGGCUUGUUUAAUUAUGGCACGUGUUUCACAGUUGUGAAUAACCACUGCAAUAGCAUCCAGAGUUAAGUCCACCGCUCGGUCUCUAGCCCACUUAUAUGUUCCAUCUCUUCCUUGAUGGCCCAAGGUCUUAUGGGCCCACCGAGCUAGAAAUAAUUCACUCUUAUUUUGCCAUUCCAAGUCUAUUUGAGCCACCUCAAUUUUGGCAGCUCUGUCUAUCUGGUGGUUGUUUUAUUGUUCUUCAGUAGUCCAACUCUUGGGCACAUGGCCAUCUACAUGGUGCACCUUUAUGACCAUCUUCUUUAUUCAGGCAGCAGUGUCUUUCCACAGUCCAACAGCCCAAAUUGGUUUACCCCUUCGUUGCCAAUUGUUUUGCUUCCUCUGCUGUAAUCACCACCAUAAGGCAUUUGCCACCAUCCAUGAGUCAGUAUAAAGAUAAAGCAUUGGCCACCUCUCCCAUUCAGCAACAUCUAAGACCAGUUGGACAGCCUUUACCUCUGCAAAUUGGCUUGAUUCUCCUUUUCCUUCAGUGGCCUCUGCAACUUGUAGUGUGGAGCUUCACACAGCAGCUAUCCGUCUGCGCUGCUUCCCCACCAUUUGACAUGACACGUCUGUGAACAAGGCAUAUUUAUUUUCGUUUUCUGGUAGUUCAUUGUAUGGUGGGGCUUCUUUAGCUUGUGAUACCUCUUCUCUUGGUGAUUUUCCAAACUUUUUACCUUCAGGCCAGUCUGUGAUCACCUCUGAGAUUCCUGGAUGACUGAGGUUCCUCAUCUGAGCGAACUGUGUAAUCAGCACAAUACACUUGCUCCAAGUGGCAUCAGUAGCGUGAUGGGUGGAGGGAACCUUUCCUUUAAACAUCUAGUUCAGCACUGGCAGUCAAGGUGCCAGAAUGAACUACGUUUCAGUACCGACUACUUAGGAAGCAGCCCAAACCCCCUCAUACGCAGCUAAGAUCUCCUUUUCACUUGGGUUGUAGCAAUCUUCAGAACCCCUGUAUGCUCAAUUACAGAAUCCCAGGGGUCGGCCUCAUAUCUCUCCUGAGGCUCUUUGCCACAAACUCCAGGUGGGACCUUUCUCUCCAACAGCAGUGUAGAGGAUGUUGUUUACAUCCUGUCCCAUCUGUACUGGCCCCAGGGCCACGGCACAGGCUAUUUCCUGUUUAAUCUGCUUGAAAUCUUGCUGCUGCUCAGGACCACACAUAAAAUCAUUCUUCUUCCAUG
ensembl:lncRNA